UACGUAGGGUGCAAGCGUUAAUCUGAAUUACUGGGCGUAAAGCGUGCGCAGGCGGUUUUGUAAGUCAGAUGUGAAAUCCCCGGGCUUAACCUGGGAACUGCGUUUGAAACUACAAGGCUAGAGUGUGGCAGAGGGGGGUGGAAUUCCACGUGUAGCAGUGAAAUGCGUAGAGAUGUGGAGGAACACCGAUGGCGAAGGCAGCCCCCUGGGUUAACACUGACGCUCAGGCACGAAAGCGUGGGGAGCAAACAGG
rnacentral:rRNA from 1 species